rnacentral:rRNA from 1 species
UACAGAGGGUGCGAGCGUUAAUCGGAAUUACUGGGCGUAAAGCGUGCGUAGACGGUUAUUUAAGUCGGGUGUGAAAGCCCCGGGCUCAACCUGGGAAUUGCAUUCGAGACUGAAUAGCUAGGGUGCGGUAGAGGGAAGCGGAAUUUCCGGUGUAGCGGUGAAAUGCGUAGAUAUCGGAAGGAACAUCAGUGGCGAAAGCGACUUCCUGGACCAAUACUGACGCUCAUGUGCGAAAGCGUGGGGAGCAAACAGG